rnacentral:rRNA from 1 species
UACGUAGGGUGCGAGCGUUGCCCGGAUUUAUUGGGCGUAAAGGGCGCGUAGGCGGCCACCGCAAGUCGACUGUGAAAUCUCCGGGCUUAACCCGGAAAGGUCAGCCGAUACUGCGGGGCUAGAGUGCAGAAGGGGCAACUGGAAUUCUCGGUGUAGCGGUGAAAUGCGUAGAUAUCGAGAGGAACACCUGCGGCGAAAGCGGCUCACUGGACCACAACUGACGCUGAUGCACGAAAGCUAGGGGAGCAAACAGG